UGCUUUCUUUGAUCCCUAUCUGUUGAUUACAGCGUUUUCCCCCGGCCUCUAAUGUCUCCACACAAUGUGAUGCUGAUUGCUCCGCUGACCUCCUAAGAUUUGGUGCCUUGGC